rnacentral:tRNA from 1 species
GGGUGCGUAGCUCAACUGGCCAGAGUAUCUCGCUCCAAACGAGAAGGUUGGGGGUUCGAAGCCUCCCGCACCUG